UAAAUAUCUGAUAUGCAGGGUAUGUGAGGUGCAACCCUGAUGGGGUCGUGACCCACAGGUUGAGAACCACCUUGAGGCGGAGCCUCCUACUGGGAAGUCUGGGCUGGAGCCAAGCAGCUUGCUUCUUGGUGACUGGGAGAGAGGUAGAGUGGGGUGGAAGGAAGGGUGGAGAAUGGGGAGGGAGGCCAGGAACUAAGAUAGAGCCUCCAGGGAUAUUCCGCUCCCCAGGGAUCUACUCCAAGUAGACCCUACAUCUUUAUAAUCCAGUUACCUACAGAUACACCAAUGGAUUCUUCCACUGGUGACUAGAGCACUCAUGAUCCAGACACCCUUGAGCACUGUUUUGUGCAACCAAGCCUUCAUUCAGCACGUGAGCCUUCGAAACCAUUGCAUAUCCCAACCACAGCAGAUGCUGGUCCCACUUGAGAAGUUCUGAACAGAUGGUGGUAUGGAAUCAGCAGCUGAACAUGACCAUCCAGAAUGCAGGUUCAUAGCUUUCUGCCCUACCGUUUCUGAUACCGUCCAUCCUAGAACAAUCGGCAGAUUUUUCCUAUAUUGGUGUCAAAUUCUAGUCUUUUUAGUCUGCUAACUUAUUUUUAUGUAAUUUUUAAAAUUGAUUUUGUUUGUUCUUGUUCUUGUUUUGUUUGAACAUCCUUCAAGAACCACAGUGAAGAAUUACCUUGGACACAGAAGGCACUGUGUGUGAACAAGGAAACUGGCCCUCACCCGAUGCUCAGCCCCUUCUACCUUGAUCUGGGACCUCCCAGCCUCCAGAACUGCAAACGUAAGCACCAGCUGCUUAUAAAAUAGCGAGUCUACGGUGUGUUGGUAGCAUUCUGCAUGGGCUGCAAUGUCAUGUAAAGAUAGAAUCCUGCAUCUCACAAUGGAGUGCUGGUACUGGGUCCUUCCAAUUCACUUACGCCAGGGAAAAGCAUCAGGGAGGCUUAAUUUCUGCCCAGAAUUGUAAAUAAAUAAAUGGGGAACCAGUGAUAAAAGACACUAAAGAAAACUACCCUACACACUUCACUAAGAAAUCCCAUGACACAAAAGACAGAGGAAGUCAUAGCAGUAGCUAGAAAUGAAAAAAAGAAAAGAAAAAGAAAAGAAACAAUUACCUUCAAUUACCUAAUGGCUAACUUUAUAUUAACAAUCACAUGGGUAGAGAGAUCAAGGAUGCUUUCUUCAGAGUUCUUCUGGAAAUAACUCUCCCAUAGGAGUUUUCCAUAUUUCGUUAAAACGCUGUUGCCUUCCUAAGAGAAUCACUCAUCCUCCCAACACCGGAGGUUUCUGCAUACACUAGUUAGAUGUCUGCAUAGUCAACAUGUCAGGAAUAAUGAGAAAUGGGGAGGGAUGCCAGAGUGAGAGAGACUCGACAGGAAAGUUGACAAAAAGCCCGUGAUGUGGCUCAGCAUGGAUGCCAGUUUCUCUGCCGGACAGCUUGGCAUGUCCUUAUCAGAAGAUUGCAAGGAGUUGGGCCUGGAGGAACAAGAGGUUGGUAGAAAGCUUAUCGCUCAUGAUAAGAAACAAUAGUCUUGCUGUGCCCUCCCCCAAAACUCCCACAUACACCUUUAUGAAUGUUUGGAUGUCUGCCACUCAGAAGGCAUCCAGAGCCAGCCAGAGGGGAUUACAAAUGGAGCCUAGCCAAGAAAGGAGGCUUGGUGUUUCUCCUCAUCCCUUCUUCUUGUCCUCCACACUGGAAGCACUGUGUCUUUGAGAAAUGAAAGAGGGAGAAAAAUGGAAGUACAAAGUCUCAGCAAGCUCUUCUCUAGUACACACAGAUAGCCAUGGGGAGAGAAAACCUGUGGUUCUGGUGAUCUUAUACUUCCCUUGUUGAAAAGUCUCAGAAGGUGAAAGGACUUUCAGAUGUUAAUGAACAGGCUUGGAAGGCUCCUAGGCCUUGGAUCAACCGCUGGAACCAUCCUUCCAGCAAAAUACUUCAGUUGCACAUGAGGCCAUAACCGAUAGGCAUACAUGAGUAAGCUGGAAAUGAUGUAGCAGCUGCCAAUCACAGUCUUAUGAAAACAGUUUGGGUAUCCUUGUCAGUCCAUACAGAAAGCUGUGCUGACAAGGAGUCUCUCUGAGCUGAACAAGAAGAGCACACCUACCUUAAAAUUUUGCGGAUACAAUCCUGAAUGCUUAUCACCGUGAAAACCUGGCAGAAGCAGGCAGAGCCCAGUCAGAUGUGUGUUCCGGUCUACCUGCGAGAUCCAGAAAUGCUGAGUACUUCAUAAAACUUUGGUAGAGGAAUGGCGAAAUCUCUGGGUACAGCAUGUCACAGACUCAUUGCUUUCCCAACUCUUCAGCUCCGACUGGUGGGACUCUAUGGGUGCCAGACCCAUUUGAGGCCUUCUGGACUUUGGCUUCCCUUUUUUUGGUUUGGGAUCUGGAGUCCUCCAGGUUCUCAGUGGGUGUCUUGAAACUCCAGCAACUGUGCCCUUUUCCAGCUUCUGGCUACCCAGGUUCUGACGCAGUGAUUCCACUUCUCACAUAUGUUUCCACUCACUCCUGCUUCUUUGCAGCUUAGCCUGUGAUCUAGCUCUGGCCUCUCUGAAACUUUAAUCGUACCUGUCUCUGGAAGGUGUUCUAAUGGCUGACUUUUGGCUUGCCAAGAUUCUUGACUCUUCUAUACGUUUUUUAGCUUUCCAAGUUCCAAAUUCUAGACGCCUUUUAAUGCUUUGCCGCCAUUAAUCACAGUGUGUUUCUAUUCCUAAAAGCCAUGGGCUAUCAUGCAAAAAUCCAAGUGCCAGGCUUUAGAGAGCUCCUUUAGGGUUGCUAGUUAGGAAGGCCCCCAAGACAGUACAAAGCCUUGCAAUUCCUCUUGGGUGUCAUCAGAAACAAUGGGUAAGACUGUAUGGCUGGAGUCACCACACAUCUUUGUUGCAAAAUACACUGAAAUCAAGCUGGGACUGAACUGGAAGUUUCCUCCGUGUUGGUUGGUUUUCAUAGUGCUAGAUGGUGCUCAGCAAGCGCUAGGGGAGAGAAGGCAAUGGCUCUCUUACCCAGCUGUGAACCCUGUGAACUAUAAUAACAACCUACCAGAGAAAAGCUAUUCACCAGUGCAGUACUGGCAUGACAGCUUUGGGGGUAACCAACCACUCUUUGCUUGGAUUUGAGGCUCACCCCGCAUGAGGGAAUCCAUACCUAAUACUGCUAAUUCAGUCAAAAACCUACUGUUGAAGAGGUCAGCGUGGUAUUGCUGUGACAGACAUGACUAUUGUUUUGGGGAAGAUUGUGGAAGGACCUUGGGAUGCUGGCCUAGAAAAUUCAUUAACUCUUGAGAACUUAGUGGGCAGUUCUGUAGGAGCUUGGAAGCUAAGAAUGUGGUGGGCAAUGCAGAAGAUGGAGGCCUGACUUCUGAAGUUUCAAAGGGAAGUUUAAAGACUCUGUCAGAGCCAUUUGUUAUUUUUAAUUAAUAUUCUGUGGCUCUGGUUAGCUGGGGCUGAAGUAUCAGCUGUGGUAAACAAGAUACCAAAACCACGAAAGGGAAAGCUUUACUUUGCUGGGAUACUCAAUGCUAGUUGACUAGAGCUGAGAAAUUAAUAGUGAUGAAGAGGAGACCAGCGUUGUUGGAGGUGAAAUCUUCUGGGAAGUGUUUCCUGAGAGCAUGUAGGACCUGUGUUUCAUAGGCAGCUGACGUUGUACUUCAAGCUGGCAGCUGAACUUGGUAGUGUUAAGAGUGACCCAGGUGGUACUGGUUUUGAAGGUCAUGGAGAGCAGUUCAGGCUUGGCACUGUGAGAGGCCAAGAGAGGGCCACUGUUGAAAGUGCAGCCCCAGUGGCAGUUGAAGGCACAGGAUUGAAGGGUUCAUAGAGGAGUGGAGGCUUGGCACCAUGAAGAGAGCCUAUGAGAGGCUAUUGGUGAAAGUGCAGCCCAGUUUCAGCAGAAGACGCUGGCAUUUUGGAGAUGCCAGUACCAUGGGAUGACCACCAAGAACAGCAGCAGUUGUGGAUUGAAGCCAGCCAGACCCUGGAAGACAAGCUGUACGUGUUGCACAGGGUGGAGCUGAAGAAGUGACCCAAGCCCCUUGGAGGAACCCAGAAGAUGGAGGCCGGGGAAGGAGGAUUGUAUCAUCAAGGCCAGCCUGGGCUACUUCAUCCAUUCUAUGACAGACUGAGCUACAGAGUGAAGACACCAUCUCCAAACAAAUGGAGGAAACUAACAGUCAUUAUCCAUAUCAACAACAAAACAGGGAAGGGAGUAGUAGAGAUGAGGAGAACCAUUAAAAGAUGUGAGUUCUAUUAGAUUCUGGUAUCAACGGAUGGCUGUGCUUUCAAGGACCGUUUCCCUGAUGUGUUACUGCUACCAAUCGAAACAUCUGAAUCAAAUAAAAUAUCUUAGAAUGUUAAAGAUGAAAUGUAUAUGCAUACAUAUAAGUAUGUGUCUCUCCCCGCUGAUAACCCUAGGUGGUGUGUCAGGGAGAAUACAAGGGGGAAGGGGGAUAGGAUAGUAAGAGAGUUAAAAAUAAUAUAGCUAAAUAUAGAAGAUUAUUACAAACACACAUUUGAGGCUAAAAUGAACAAUAUAGUGGCUAAGAUAAAAGAAUGGAAAAAAAGAGAAUUCCCCUGUAGGACAAAUUCUUGAACAAUGCAUAACAUACACACACUACUUGAAAAAUUUAUACAUAUAAAACUUCCCAUUAUAUAUGCCCAUGGUUCCUAUACACACUAACUGAUUUAACUCUACAGGUAUGGGUAAAAGUACAUUUUGGAUCUGAUAUGAAUAUCCACUGAAGCUAAAACUGUCACAUCCAUUCAAUUGCCAUCAAUGACAAUUAGAAAGUAUUGAUCUGGGAAGGAGCCAAAUGGCAAAAUCAUUUUCCAAAAAGAAA